UUGCAGUUGCUUCGUUGGAAAG
rnacentral:siRNA from 1 species